UAGUCCACGCCGUAAACGGUGGGCGCUAGUUGUGGGAACCUUCCACGGUUUCUGCGACGCAGCUAACGCAUUAAGCGCCCCGCCUGGGGAGUACGAUCGCAAGAUUAAAACUCAAAGGAGUUGACGGGGCCCCGCACAAGCAGCGGAGCAUGCGGCUUAAUUCGACGCAACGCGAAGAACCUUACCAAGGCUUGACAUAUACAGAAAUAUGGCAGAGAUGUCAUAGCGGUAAAACGUCUGUAUACAGGUGGUGCAUGGUUGUCGUCAGCUCGUGUCGUGAGAUGUUGGGUUAAGUCCCGCAACGAGCGCAACCCUCGUUCUGUGUUGCCAGCAUUUGGUUGGGGACUCACAGGAGACUGCCGGGGUUAACUCGGAGGAAGGUGGGGAUGACGUCAAAUCAUCAUGCCCCUUAUGUCUUGGGCUGCACGCAUGCUACAAUGGCUGGUACAAAGGGCUGCAAUACUGCAAAGUGGAGCGAAUCCCAAAAAGCCAGUCUCAGUUCGGAUUGGGGUCUGCAACUCGACCCCAUGAAGUCGGAGUUGCUAGUAAUCGUAGAUCAGCAACGCUACGGUGAAUACGUUCCCGGGGCUUGUACACACCGCCCGUCACAUCACGAAAGUC
rnacentral:rRNA from 1 species